AUCACAUUUUUAUUCGUCAAGACCACAUGUUAAUUUAGGCACAAGUACGAGAUCUACAGUUCAAAAGAAAAUUUUUCCUAGCUACUUUGCAUAAUUGUGUUAGCCAGGUAUUCUUAAAACAUCCGUUUUCUCAACAAAAUAUUGAGAAAUGGCAUGGGUUCAAUUAUUGUUGUUUCUAAUGAUGAAGAUGAUGCAUAGCUUAUGUUUUCCUACUGGAAAGUACUUACCCAUGCUGCAAGGAUCCUGUAAACUGGUCUAUGGUGCGGCAUUAACACAACAGAGACAUCACACAAGCUCGUCAUCGGCCCGACUUGGCAGGGUUACCGACAGGAAGCACAAGAAAAUUUAAAUAGCACCGGCCAAAGGAGAAGCGGUACCCGCCGUACCUGUUAUCCACAGUGACGUCACUGAUAAAACAGCCGAGUCGUGUCUUACGCGUGGGAGCAAUUCUUGGCAAGGGACUGGAAGACGUCUUAGAACUAACAAAGUACAAACCAAAAUAACGAUCGGCAGUACUCGCAAACUUAGAGGGGCCUAUGACGAAGCUUAACCUGUACUAGGGUGUACGAUAACGUUUAGCUAUACCCGCGGCAGCACCAGCCAGCGCCAAUUGUAACACUCAAUCAACACUCAGCAAAGGUCAGAGCAGGAUGUGUCUCUCAUUCAUCCUGGACCUCUUAUAUGGCGCAGUGAAAGCCCGUCAAGACAAAAAGAGUCUAGUAUCCUCGAGGGUGAGCUACACGACACACCCGUCAUGGGACACCACGUUGGAGGGUGAGCCAAAAUGAUGCUUCGUUCACCUGGUAAGUCACUUAAACAACUCUCCACAAUAUGCAAGGUGUACAGGAGCCUGCAGACACUCACCUUAUCAUAUUGUUCAGAUAAAAACCGAGAAGCUGCCCACGAGCCGCCAGAAACUAUUACGGAACGCCACGAGGUAAGAAAUACUAUGGGCUGGAGGAGGACCUGUGUUCCACGAAUCUUUUCGCAGCCACAAAAUAGCUCGCAGAGGUUCAACUUUCUUCCUUUUUCUAUGUUUCACUCACCGCUAUCGUUUACUUUUCCUAAUUCGGCUCCAAUACGUGGCACAAACAUCAGAGACACACUUUUAAUCAAGAGAAGGCUUUAUAACAAACGAGUAGGGCAGAUUUUAGAAAGAAUUACCCCCACGCUGAUGUUCACUCAGUUUUUGCUUGUUUGGUCUGUUGGUCUGGUGUGUUGUUCUCUUACGGCAAUAUCAACCAUUACAAAAGAUAUCAAGUGGACAAACUAGAACAAAACCAGGCAUAUUAAUGUUUCCCUGCUGUGUAUUCCUUUGUGCGCAUGCGUAGUGGACAGCAGAUGCGACUUAUUUCUGUGAGGAGGUUUUCUCGCAACACCGCCAGCGCCAUCUGUCAUGAGCAGACGUUUCGAUUCCCUGUUCGAGAAACGUUACACACUAUAUAUUUAAGUGUUUAGCCGGGGUGGCAAAUAAGCCUCUGAGAAGUGGAUCAAUGCCGCCCUCCUCAAUGAUCCUCCACGGGCUGAAGAAAGCUUUGUGCAGAGGAAGCAGUCUAUGCCACUCUCGCUCAGGUCUCUCCGGCAGUCCACCGGGGCACCAGCACUGAACGGCAUCAUUGGCUUUCCUGUUGGCCCCGGGAUGCCAUGUCUUAGCUUCCCUUCAUAAAAAGACGUUUUACUGUACAUAGAGCUACAGCUGGACUAUGUUGGUCAUGAAAAUAGAAACUUCAUACCCACCUGGGAAGCAUCCAGAAAAGAGCUGAUGGUUGGCCGGGGUUGCCCUUCAGCCUGGCAGGGGAGUACAAUGGCCUCGUCACCUUCCUUAGCCAGCAUGUCUCGAGGCUCCACACGAAUAACAGGAGCUACCUAGGAAUGAGGAGAGUGCAAAUGAUG